rnacentral:rRNA from 1 species
CCCUUAGAUGUUCUGGGCCGCACGCGCGCUACACUGACGAAUGCAACGAGCUUAUAACCUUGGCCGAUAGGUCUGGGUAAUCUCCAAAUUUCGUCGUGAUGGGGAUAGAUUAUUGCAAUUAUUAAUCUUCAACGAGGAAUGCCUAGUAAGCGCAAGUCAUCAGCUUGCGUUGAUUACGUCCCUGCCCUUUGUACACACCGCCCGUCGCUCCUACCGAUUGAAUGGUCCGGUGAAGCGUUCGGACCGUGGCCUUUGGACGGUUCGCCGUCUGUUGGCUGCGGGAAGUUCGUUAAACCUUAUCAUUUAGAGGAAGGAGAAGUCGUAACA